UAGACUCAUCUAAUCGGGUUUCCGAUCUAGGUGCUUUGGACGUCUGCCGACUUUGGCUCGUCUUAAAUGUCUAAGUGGAAUGCGUAAUAAGUUAUCGCUCCCUCCACUCUAAUCACACUUUAG
rnacentral:misc_RNA from 1 species